rnacentral:rRNA from 1 species
GACGAACGCUGGCGGCGUGCUUAACACAUGCAAGUCGAACGGAAAGGCCCUGCUUUUGUGGGGUGCUCGAGUGGCGAACGGGUGAGUAACACGUGAGUAACCUGCCCUUGACUUUGGGAUAACUUCAGGAAACUGGGGCUAAUACCGGAUAGGAGCUCCUGCUGCAUGGUGGGGGUUGGAAAGUUUCGGCGGUUGGGGAUGGACUCGCGGCUUAUCAGCUUGUUGAUGGGGUAGUGGCUUACCAAGGCUUUGACGGGUAGCCGGCCUGAGAGGGUGACCGGCCACAUUGGGACUGAGAUACGGCCCAGACUCCUACGGGAGGCAGCAGUGGGGAAUAUUGCACAAUGGGCGGAAGCCUGAUGCAGCAACGCCGCGUGCGGGAUGACGGCCUUCGGGUUGUAAACCGCUUUCGCCUGUGGCGAAGCGUGAGUGACGGUAAUGGGUAAAGAAGCACCGGCUAACUACGUG